UUGAACGCUGGCGGCAGGCCUAACACAUGCAAGUCGAACGGUAACAGGAAGCAGCUUGCUGCUUCGCUGACGAGUGGCGGACGGGUGAGUAAUGUCUGGGAAACUGCCUGAUGGAGGGGGAUAACUACUGGAAACGGUAGCUAAUACCGCAUAACGUCGCAAGACCAAAGAGGGGGACCUUAGGGCCUCUUGCCAUCGGAUGUGCCCAGAUGGGAUUAGCUAGUAGGUGGGGUGACGGCUCACCUAGGCGACGAUCCCUAGCUGGUCUGAGAGGAUGACCAGCCACACUGGAACUGAGACACGGUCCAGACUCCUACGGGAGGCAGCAGUGGGGAAUAUUGCACAAUGGGCGCAAGCCUGAUGCAGCCAUGCCGCGUGUAUGAAGAAGGCCUUCGGGUUGUAAAGUACUUUCAGCGGGGAGGAAGGGAGUAAAGUUAAUACCUUUGCUCAUUGACGUUACCCGCAGAAGAAGCACCGGCUAACUCCGUG
rnacentral:rRNA from 1 species